rnacentral:rRNA from 1 species
UUUAUGGAGAGUUUGAUCCUGGCUCAGGAUGAACGCUGGCGGCGUGCCUAAUACAUGCAAGUCGAGCGAACAGAUAAGGAGCUUGCUCCUUUGACGUUAGCGGCGGACGGGUGAGUAACACGUGGGUAACCUACCUAUAAGACUGGAAUAACUCCGGGAAACCGGGGCUAAUGCCGGAUAACAUGUUGAACCGCAUGGUUCUACAGUGAAAGACGGUCUUGCUGUCACUUAUAGAUGGACCCGCGCCGUAUUAGCUAGUUGGUGGGGUAACGGCCUACCAAGGCGACGAUACGUAGCCGACCUGAGAGGGUGAUCGGCCACACUGGAACUGAGACACGGUCCAGACUCCUACGGGAGGCAGCAGUAGGGAAUCUUCCGCAAUGGGCGAAAGCCUGACGGAGCAACGCCGCGUGAGUGAUGAAGGUCUUCGGAUCGUAAAGCUCUGUUGUUAGGGAAGAACAAAUGUGUAAGUAACUGUGCACAUCUUGACGGUACCUAACCAGAAAGCCACGGCUAACUACGUGCCAGCAGCCGCGGUAAUACGUAGGUGGCAAG